AGAGUUUGAUCCUGGCUCAGGAUGAACGCCGGCGGUGUGCCUAAUACAUGCAAGUCGUACGCACUGGCCCAACUGAUUGAUGGUGCUUGCACCUGAUUGACGUUGGAUCACCAGUGAGUGGCGGACGGGUGAGUAACACGUAGGUAACCUGCCCCGGAGCGGGGGAUAACAUUUGGAAACAGAUGCUAAUACCGCAUAACAACAAAAGCCACAUGGCUUUUGUUUGAAAGAUGGCUUUGGCUAUCACUCUGGGAUGGACCUGCGGUGCAUUAGCUAGUUGGUAAGGUAACGGCUUACCAAGGCGAUGAUGCAUAGCCGAGUUGAGAGACUGAUCGGCCACAAUGGAACUGAGACACGGUCCAUACUCCUACGGGAGGCAGCAGUAGGGAAUCUUCCACAAUGGGCGCAAGCCUGAUGGAGCAACACCGCGUGAGUGAAGAAGGGUUUCGGCUCGUAAAGCUCUGUUGUUGGAGAAGAACGUGCGUGAGAGUAACUGUUCACGCAGUGACGGUAUCCAACCAGAAAGUCACGGCUAACUACGUGCCAGCAGCCGCGGUAAUACGUAGGUGGCAAGCGUUAUCCGGAUUUAUUGGGCGUAAAGCGAGCGCAGGCGGUUGCUUAGGUCUGAUGUGAAAGCCUUCGGCUUAACCGAAGAAGUGCAUCGGAAACCGGGCGACUUGAGUGCAGAAGAGGACAGUGGAACUCCAUGUGUAGCGGUGGAAUGCGUAGAUAUAUGGAAGAACACCAGUGGCGAAGGCGGCUGUCUGGUCUGCAACUGACGCUGAGGCUCGAAAGCAUGGGUAGAGAACAGGAUUAGAUACCCUGGUAGUCCAUGCCGUAAACGAUGAGUGCUAGGUGUUGGAGGGUUUCCGCCCUUCAGUGCCGGAGCUAACGCAUUAAGCACUCCGCCUGGGGAGUACGACCGCAAGGUUGAAACUCAAAGGAAUUGACGGGGGCCCGCACAAGCGGUGGAGCAUGUGGUUUAAUUCGAAGCUACGCGAAGAACCUUACCAGGUCUUGACAUCUUGCGCUAACCUUAGAGAUAAGGCGUUCCCUUCGGGGACGCAAUGACAGGUGGUGCAUGGUCGUCGUCAGCUCGUGUCGUGAGAUGUUGGGUUAAGUCCCGCAACGAGCGCAACCCUUGUUACUAGUUGCCAGCAUUAAGUUGGGCACUCUAGUGAGACUGCCGGUGACAAACCGGAGGAAGGUGGGGACGACGUCAGAUCAUCAUGCCCCUUAUGACCUGGGCUACACACGUGCUACAAUGGACGGUACAACGAGUCGCAAGCUCGCGAGAGUAAGCUAAUCUCUUAAAGCCGUUCUCAGUUCGGACUGUAGGCUGCAACUCGCCUACACGAAGUCGGAAUCGCUAGUAAUCGCGGAUCAGCAUGCCGCGGUGAAUACGUUCCCGGGCCUUGUACUCACCGCCCGUCA
rnacentral:rRNA from 1 species